ACCGCACGGAGCCACCAGCGAACAGCCUGAGCAAGAGCUAAAGUAAACACGGAUGUCCGGCCCGACUUUCAAAAUAAGAGCCCGAAAUUAAGAAAAUUACUUCGUUCUCCACUAUGAAGAUUAAACGUGCACUCUGUCGCCAUCUGGUGGAAGGUGUAGAAAUAAAACAAUUUGCAGCAAUUUGAAAGAGUUUUUCUCCAUCAUCGUCAUCAUAAACAACAAACAGAAAGAAAAUACUUUAUUUUCAGAAUACAGGCGCAACGAUUUGGAUAAACUGUUGUGAAAGUUCGAAUUAGAAAAAAA